rnacentral:rRNA from 1 species
GAUGAACGCUAGCGGCAGGCCUAACACAUGCAAGUCGAGGGGCAGCGCGGUGUAGCAAUACACUGGCGGCGACCGGCGCACGGGUGAGUAACGCGUAUGCAACCUGCCCUCCGCAGGGGGAUAGCCCGCCGAAAGGCGGAUUAAUACCCCAUCGACCUGGGGCCCGCAUCGGGGGCCCCGGGUAAAAGGAGCGAUCCGGCGGGGGAUGGGCAUGCGUGCCAUUAGCUAGCUGGCGGGGUAACGGCCCACCAGGGCGACGAUGGCUAGGGGGUCUGAGAGGAUGGUCCCCCACACUGGUACUGAGACACGGACCAGACUCCUACGGGAGGCAGCAGUGAGGAAUAUGGUCAAUGGGCGGAAGCCUGAACCAGCCAUGCCGCGUG